rnacentral:rRNA from 1 species
UGCAAGCCGAGCGGUAGAGAUCUUUCGGGAUCUUGAGAGCGGCGUACGGGUGCGGAACACGUGUGCAACCUGCCUUUAUCAGGGGGAUAGCCUUUCGAAAGGAAGAUUAAUACCCCAUAAUAUAUUAAGUGGCAUCAUUUGAUAUUGAAAACUCCGGUGGAUAGAGAUGGGCACGCGCAAGAUUAGAUAGUUGGUAGGGUAACGGCCUACCAAGUCAGUGAUCUUUAGGGGGCCUGAGAGGGUGAUCCCCCACACUGGUACUGAGACACGGACCAGACUCCUACGGGAGGCAGCAGUGAGGAAUAUUGGACAAUGGGUGAGAGCCUGAUCCAGCCAUCCCGCGUGAAGGACGACGGCCCUAUGGGUUGUAAACUUCUUUUGUAUAGGGAUAAACCUUUCCACGUGUGGAAAGCUGAAGGUACUAUACGAAUAAGCACCGGCUAACUCCGUGCCAGCAGCCGCGGUAAUACGGAGGGUGCAAGCGUUAUCCGGAUUUAUUGGGUUUAAAGGGUCCGUAGGCGGAUCUGUAAGUCAGUGGUGAAAUCUCAUAGCUUAACUAUGAAACUGCCAUUGAUACUGCAGGUCUUGAGUAAAGUAGAAGUGGCUGGAAUAAGUAGUGUAGCGGUGAAAUGCAUAGAUAUUACUUAGAACACCAAUUGCGAAGGCAGGUCACUAUGUUUUAACUGACGCUGAUGGACGAAAGCGUGGGGAGCGAACAGGAUUAGAUACCCUGGUAGUCCACGCCGUAAACGAUGCUAACUCGUUUUUGGGUUUUCGGAUUCAGAGACUAAGCGAAAGUGAUAAGUUAGCCACCUGGGGAGUACGUUCGCAAGAAUGAAACUCAAAGGAAUUGACGGGGGCCCGCACAAGCGGUGGAUUAUGUGGUUUAAUUCGAUGAUACGCGAGGAACCUUACCAAGGCUUAAAUGGGAAUUGACAGGUUUAGAAAUAGACUUUUCUUCGGACAAUUUUC